AUCCUGCUGUCGUUGCCCCUCCUUCCACCCUCCAACCCUGUCAUAAAUCACCCUCCCACUCUCAGUGCUACCACGGACUGACAGGCUCCCUGAGGACCAGCUGCUGCCUGGUACCUGUGGUCACCUGAACUCUCUUCAGCCCCACAUGUGAGCACCUGCUGCAGAGGUGUAGGACACCUGUGCCAGACCUUCCCAAGCCUUGCCAGUGCCACCAACACCUCCAUGCUGUGCGUCCCAAAGUGGGCUACGUGUACUGGGCGUGAUAUGCAACAUGAACUAAGGGAGCUCUUCUGGGUCCAAGAAGUGGAAGCAGUCUUUGUCCCAGUGCAGUCUCUUGCUGGUGAAUGAGGUGCUGCUGUUUGUCUAAAGAAAAGUACAGAAUGCGAUGCUGCGGGACCAAACUGAGCUGUGGGUGUGUUGCUAGAUCUUUGUGUGCCCUUGACUCAAUGGGCUAUAAACACUUCAUUUUUCCAGCACUGUCUGAGAACGAAAUUCUCCACACUGCGAAUUCCCCAGAAUAAGCCCAGAAGUUUGGGGCAUCCUUGCUGAGAGCAGCUCUGCAUCCUUGUGCGCGUGGAGAUCCAAGACAAUUCAUUCUGUUUCAGGGAAGCCAAUCCUUCAUCGGGCCUGACUCGGGCAGGGAAAGGAUGGCAAGGAGAAGAGCGCCUGGCACAUAGCAGACAUUCAGUGAGGAUCUGUUCAGUGACUGAAGCUCCAGUGUCGAGGCUGAGCAGUUGGUAGCGACUGUCCGGCAUGGGAUGCUGAGAAAGAUCCUGAGGCUAGGCUCUGUGGGAAACGCUGUAAUUUAGGAUUGAUCUGCCGCGGGCGCAGGUGAGCGAGUGGAGAGAAGCACAAUGUACACAUGAGUCUUGUGGAAAGUGAGAACAGAAUCUGAGCUUGAAGACAUUGAAGUGGCCGUAAAUUGCAGAUGGGCACCAGAGAAGAGUGGGUGCCUCCAGCCCUGGAGGACCUGACACCAGGGGACUCUGCUGAGCUCAGACCUGGGCAGACUAGCAGACAGGAUACCCCCAGGCUCAACCCGAGGUAAUCAGAAUGGCGGCAGCCUCCACAGCCUCCACAGCAGCUAUGCUGCCUGGGCCUGCAUUUGGCUGAGCAGGAAGCAAUCCCUCCAUAAGUGACCCAGCACUGCCCCCUGGUGUAAACCCAUCCAAUGCACAUUGGCCCGAAGGAUUCCUUGGGGAGCCUCUUUUAUUUACAACUUCUCAGCAGAUGCCGUCAGCAUUUGGGCUUUGGGACUAAUUUCAGUAAUCUACAUGAAGCCAAUGCUGCUGUGAUGUGCGCAUAAUAGGCAGGAAGAAUAAUGUCCUUCCUGCCCCUGUCUGGUUGCACCCAUUCAGUCAGCCUUUAAGAACCACCACUCAGUAAACACUUAAUAUGUGACAGGCAGUUUGCGUGGCCCUCUGUUUGUGUCCCACUGUUAAUCUCUAGGAAAGGUGCUAUAAUUAUUUGCAUGUUGCUGAUGAAGAAACUGAGGCUCAGAGAGGACGUUUCACUUUUUUUUUUUUUGAGGAAGAUUAGCCCUGAGCUAACU